UGCUUCUUGUUCUUGUUCUUAAACUAUAUUGCUUCAGUCUGAGAUCCUUGAUUAUGGGAUAUCAAAUAAUAGGUCCAUUCUACAUAUAAGAAUGUGCAAUUAUUGUCAAUAUCCUGUCCCUGCAAUUAUGUAGUCCAUUUUGUUAUGAGAGAAUCAAGCUCUCUACCUCCAGCAUGUGUGAUUUCUGUUGUUGAUUCCCACUAAAAAAUUUCUGUCUGCAGCAAUUCUAAUGUACACCCCCUUGUGAUUGCGGCACAUCCACAAGAGCCAAAUCAGUUUGCAUUGGGAUUAUCUGAUGGUGGAGUGUGUGUUUUUGAGCCCCUUGAAUCCGAAGGCAAAUGGGGUGUGCCACCACCUGUUGAGAAUGGAUCAGCUAGUAGUGUGCCAGCUACACCUUCAGUUGGACCUUCAGGUUCAGAUCAACCCCAAAGAUGAUCAAACGGCUGCCAGAGCACAAGUUCUUUUACAUGCUUGGCUUACUGGCACUCUAAAUUUAGAUUUUCAGGAUAUGUAAUUUACUCAAGGAUUGAAAUCUGUUGAUGUAGAUCUAACUUAUUGGGGUAAGGUUCUGCUUGAGGUAAAUGCUGUAGAAGAAUUAAUAGUGAAAUAUUUUUUCUUUUUAAAAAGAAAUUUCUUUGAGGAAGUCUUUCUUCUCUCUUCUUUGUUAACAUUUUGCUUCAAUUAUUGAAUAGUAAUGCUGUUUUAUGCAUC